rnacentral:rRNA from 1 species
GACGAACGCUGGCGGCGUGCUUAACACAUGCAAGUCGAACGGAAAGGCCCUGCUUUCGUGGGGUGCUCGAGUGGCGAACGGGUGAGUAACACGUGAGUAACCUGCUCUUGACUUUGGGAUAACUUCAGGAAACUGGGGCUAAUACAGUAUAGGAGCUCCUGUUGCAUGGUGGGGGUUGGAAAGUUUCGGCGGUUGGGGUUGGACUCGCGGCUAAUGAGCUUGCUGGUGGGGGAGUGGUUUACCAAGGCUGUGACGGGUACCCCGCCUGAGAGGGUGGCCGGCGACAUUGGUCCUGAGAUACGGCCCAGUCUCCAACGGGAGGCAGCAGUGGCGAAUAUUGCACAAUGGGCGGAAGCCUGAUGCGGCAACGCCGCGUGCGGGAUGCCGGCCUUCGGGUUGUAAACCGCUUUCGCCUGUGACGAAGCGUGAGUGACGGUACUGGAUAAAGAAGCACCGGCUAACUACGUG